CAGCCGAUGAUGAUGAACCGGCCUCCACAAAUGCAGCAUGGCAUGCCUGUGCCGCCUCCACCGGGAUCACAAUUUGCUCAUCUUCAAGUUCCAAGACCAUAUGGUCAGCUUCCACCAACUAUGCAUGGGAUGAUGCAACCACCACCUAUGCAUGGGAUGCCGCCUCCACCACCACAUGAGGAGGCACCACCUCUUCCUGAGGAGCCAGAGCCAAAGAGACAGAAAUUCGACGAGUCAGCUCUCGUUCCAGAAGAACAAUUCCUUGCUCAGCAUCCGGUAAUGUUUUCUAUAAACCCUUCAGUCCUUUUCUUUUAUCUUUUGUCUGAGUUGUAUCUUACAUAAUUUGGUUUCUAUGUAUGCAGGGUCCUGCUACGAUCAGGGUCUCUGUUCCAAACGUGGAUGAUGGGCAAGUCAUUGAGAUCACAGUGCAGUCAUUAUCAGAAAACGUGGGAAGUUUGAAAGAGAAGAUAGCUGGUGAAACACAGAUUCCAGCAAACAAACAGAAGUUGAGUGGAAAAGCUGGGUUCUUAAAGGACAACUUGUCACUUGCACAUUACAAUGUUGGAGCAGGUGAAAUGUUAACACUGUCUUUGAGAGAACGUGGUGGGAGAAAGAGAUAGAGAGGGUAAGCUGUUGGAUGCAGAGAAAUGCUUUUUAUUCCUUCUUUAGAUGUUUUCAAAACUUGGUGGCCAAAACUAUAUGUACUGCUAUCUUUUUCGCACAUCCUUACUCUUGGCCCAUUGCAUCUAGUAUCUAUUGAAGUUUUAGAUUGAAGAGGAAAGAUUAUUACAGACUUAAGUUCGUUUUGCAGCUAGUAUCUGAGGUAACGUUUUGGCAAACUCCUUUUUACCAUCUGAUACUUUGUUUUGCAUUUGCCUUGAUCAUGCGUCUUCCUACUAUGGUACACGAUAUUACAAUACUGAAACAUAUAGCAUGGUUAAUUACCAGCAUAAGCUCUCAGAACCAAACUCUUGCUUUUAACCAUGGUACUAUUUUUACUUGCUUCACUUCGAUUGUAUCAAACAACGUAAAAAUAGAUGAGACAUGUUUGAAACAAUAUGAAGCAUUAAUAGAAAAUAAAACAGACUUUAAGUUUCUAUAAUGAGAUUUACGACUACACAAAAAAAUAAAGUAAACACUACAGUGGCCUAUAAUAACUACUACAACAUUUUUGAAGUGCCCUCUGGAUGACUCUGAAACCAUCUUGUAUCGUAUGGGUCGUCGACUCUUUAUCAAGAAACAAGUUGAAAGAAGAAAACAGAGAGUUGGGGUUCAUCCUUAUUUGGUUGAUCCUAAUAUAUAAUAAAGUUUCCCUAAUGCUUGAUGAUUUCAAGAGAAGGUGUGACAAAAGAAGAUGAUCGGACGCGAGACUGUCCACUUGUCCGGGAAGAGAACCAAAGACAAGAAGAGAAAACAACUCUCAAAACUCUUCUCAGGACUUCUCCUCUCUUUGGGACUAGACUAGCUCCUCUUCCAGCCAUUUCUUUUUGUCUUUCUGCUCGGUUUAUGUCGGUUUGAUUUGGUUUAGUAGUAGUAGUGAUGAGAUAUGUGUCUGCAAGCUGGAACUGCCGACAUGACUCUAAUAUAGGAAGCGUUGUAACGAUAUACAGUGACCGCGUUAAAAUUCUCAAUACGCGUUGGCUCGUUCUUAUUUUUCUUCUUUUCAUGCAAAUUCAUUUAUGAUUUUGGAAAUUUGUAUAUAUUUUGGGAUAAUAUAUGUUGCAUAAAAGUGAUUAAUAAUAGGUUUACUUUUGAAUAGUUACUGUUCAUAGUUUGAAGUGGUCCUAGACUCUCUUUUUUUCUAUGGUACCAAGUUAACGCGUUUUUAGUUUUGUUAUUAAUACUAGGGCCGGAGCUCCGCGCAAGCGCGGGUUGUUGACGUUACCGUAAGUUGUCUAGGAUUUGCCGCAGUUUGUGAACCUGUCACUAAAAUUGUGCAGUAGCUGUGGGAAAAAUUGUAUAUUAUGCUUUUCAUAUGGGUGAUUAUACGUUUGAUGUUUCUCUGAAUUAGUUUUAGUAUUUUCAUUAGGGGUUUUAUAUGUGCUAUAGUUCGUUUAUUGAUUUGGUGGUGUUUUUGGGUGUGAGUAAGGUUAUUUUAAAAGUCCAUUGUAGAGUUAGUAAUUAAAACUACAGCAAUUACAAAAGUCCGUUUAGCAUUGUGCAACUUUACUGAUUUAUAAAGUUGGGGACAUUGGUAAAUAAGCAAAGACACGUAGACUCUUUCUUUAUUAUUUAAAGUUGUAGUAAUUCUUAUACCAGUAAAAAAUAGUUUGCAGCAAAUCAAAGAGAACUAAAGCUCAAAGUUGAAAAAACACGGAAGUAGAAAAUUAAAAUGAAACGAAAUCUAAGUGGAGUUGACGGUUAGAUGACCUUGCGACAAUCAAUCAAGGAAGCGUUUGCGGGUGUUCUCGUCACCAGCAGAACCUAUCAGGCUUGCUUCAGCAACUCCCAGUGGAAUCUUUGGCACAUCACCCAGGUUGCUGGCAGAUUCUGUUGCUUGUCCAGAUUCCAUAUCCAUGACUGGAGCUGGGUCGCUGCUGCUACUCUAAGAAACAGUAGAACAUGUGUGUUAAUUUAUAUUAGCAGUUUUAAAAACUGUGAAUACAUAGAUUACCCCACCUCUGCCUCGGUGCCAAAUAAAUAUUAGCAGUUUUAAAAACUGUGAGUACAUACAUAUAUAUAUAUAUAUAUAUAUAUAUUAGGUUGUUACUUUAAAAAUGGAUCGGGAAUAACAGUUCAUACCUGAUGUCCGGUCACGUUGGAAGAAACACACCUGUUGCAACGGAAGAAAGUGCCAGAUUUUGUAAGCUUCCUGCUGCAACUGGUGCAAGAAAUAAACGCCCAGCCAUUUUGUUGGAGGACACCAACAAUCUGAACCUUGCAAAUAAAAUCAGCUUCUUGAGGAUGACAACAUUGCUAACAUUAGUUGAUACUAUUUUGGAACCACAUAAGAGUACUAAAGUAUGUUUAAAGACGGAGUGUUACCUGCUGCCCAUUGGAGUUGGAGUUGAAGAUGAAAGUGUGAAGAUCUCCUAUUGACAUUAGUUCCUUCUUUUUAAUACCUUCUAUGGAAUCAACUCGAGUUCCAUGACACAAGUACAACAACGGAACUGGAAUGGGAGAAUAUUUUAGUUUAAAAAAAAAACAAUGAGCUAAGCAUUUUAAAAUAUUAGUACGUAAGUUCAUGACUUAUGGGUCAAUUAGGAGACAGACCUCAUUUCGUAAGUUGUUCAGGUCAGAGCCUUGAACAAUACGGAUUUGUCCAAACACAUCUGAAAAUGAAAGCAUUUUUUAAUAAUGAAAACAUAGUAUAUGUAGAUUGUGGUUGAAAUUUAACAUGCAAAACUCUAUUGAAAACUAUACCGGAGGCUAUAAGUUAGUGUUUGCAAGAGCUUGGAGAUGGUCGAACUUUCAAAGGAUGAAUUUCUGGAGAUUGAUAACAGUUGAAAUCAUGGCAAAUUCAUCAAUAGUUGUUGGGGGAAUGAUACAGAUGACGAAAGGAUGAUCCGUGAUCUUGUACAUAUUAGUGCAUCAGCCGAUUUAAAAGAGAUCAACUUUCACGAUCGACCCCUCUCUUAGCGAUGGAUGGACGGUAGUGAUUCACACCACCAGCUGGGAUGAAAACCGUGGAUAACAGAGUAGCUUGAAUAUUGAUUAAACAAAUAUAGUAUAUAGUAGUCCAGAGAAAGUAAAGAUGUUGAUACAUUUUCAUCAAGGAAGAGGAGAUGUUGAUAAUCAAGGAAGAGGAGGGUGAUUCCCAUACAUUCACCGCUUUUAUUGAUGUUCCACGAAUCCAGAAAAGGAGGAGGCGGUUGUACGACCUAGCUCUCGUCAAAGGUGGAGGGGAGGGCGGCUCAUCGACAGCAGCAGCACCAGAGUAAGACAUUUGGAAUGAGGGUUCUAGGUUUUCGGGGGAGGAUAAACUUAGAGAGCUUGUGUGUGAAGCUUGAUUCCAGUCUCAAGCCUCUCGUAUUUCUACGGUUUGAUGUCUUCUUUGGUUUUGAUACGCAUCAAGCGUUGAUAGUAAAGUAAGGGAAACAGAGAGUUCGUAGGAGUUACGGAUUUUAAUGUGAACUGAAAAUUCAUUGCAUAUGGUAAGAGAGUAAAGUUCAAGGGAGUGGCCAAAAGAGAAGGAAAUGAAGAGAAACGGGAGGUAGAAAGGUGAGAGGAAAAUUGACUUUCCAAACAACGGCGGAGACAGUGUUGGUCAACCGUCGAAGAUGAAUACUACUUCAAACCACAAUCGACCUAAUCCUAAACGCAGAGUUUGGUUUACUUACCAGAAAACUUAAGGUGAUGAAGGGCUUCACUAUGGAUUUUGGGCUGAAUUGAAUUUCUUAACAGGAACAGUAGUAAAACAUAUAUUACGGGCCACAACAAAAUUAAUUUAGUCUAAACCAAUGUACGAAGACUGAAUAUUUCUGGUCUAAGUGGGAACCACCAAAACCAUUAGAUUUUAGGUUGGGCUGCCAAAAGUUUUUAAUGGGCUGCGAAGACUAACUUAAUUUUUGGAAUAAUUUUUGUAUUCCAAGCCAGUCCGCGAUGACCUGUCAUUUUAAUUGGCCAGGAAUAUUUCAUCUGACAUGGCACCAUUUAGAAGCUCCAAAAAUAGCUCCUUUUAUAUAGUAAGACUAGGUAACAACCCGCGCCUUGCGCGGGAUGUGAUUAUUAGUUUCGUUAUUUUUAAUAAAAAAGACAAUAAAUCUGUUUAAUCUGGAUAUUGGUUAGGUUUUACGUUUUUUUGUUUUUAAUCUUCUAAAAUAUAACUAUUAUUUUAAAUUAAUAUUCAUUUUAGUUUAUUCGGUUAAAACAUUUGAUUUUUUGGUUUUUUCGGAUAAAAACCUAAAAUUAAUAUUAUAUAUUUAUUUUCAUAUUAUGAAGUUUAGAUAAUUGUCAUGUCGAAUCAAUAGUUUCAUAUUAUAGUUUUUAAACAGAUAAUAGUUUAAGAAAAAGAAAAGAAAAUUAUAAGACAAAUCAUUUCACUACAAUUUGGUCGGUAGUGAAAGAAACAUUAAGAAAAAAUUUGCUCAUCUUCAAGUUCCAAGACCAUAUGGUCAGCUUCCACCAACUAUGCAUGGGAUGAUGCAACCACCACCUAUGCAUGGGAUGCCGCCUCCACCACCACAUGAGGAGGCACCGCCGCCUCUUCCUGAGGAGCCAGAGCCAAAGAGACAAAAAUUCGACGAGUCGGCUCUUGUUCCAGAAGAACAGUUCCUUGCUCAGCAUCCGG
rnacentral:lncRNA from 1 species